AUUGAACGCUGGCGGCAGGCCUAACACAUGCAAGUCGAGCGGAGAGGCGGACGGGUGAGUAAUGCCUAGGAAUCUGCCUGGUCGUGGGGGAUAGGGUCAGGAAACGGGCGCUAAUACCACAUACUAUCACAUGCGCCUAGGUCGGAUUAGCUAGUUGGUGGGGUAAAGGACUACCAAGGCGACGACCCGUACCUGGUCUGAGAGGAUGAUCAGUCACACUGGAACUGAGACACGGUCCAGACUCCUACGGGAGGCAGCAGUGGGGAAUAUUGGACAAUGGGCGAAAGCCUGAUCCAGCCAUGCCGCGUGUGUGAAGAAGGUCUUCGGGUUGUAAAGCACUUUAAGUUGGGAGGCGUUACCAGCAGAAGAAGCACCGGCUAACUUCGUGCCAGCAGCCGCGGUAAUUC
rnacentral:rRNA from 1 species